rnacentral:rRNA from 1 species
UACGUAGGUGACAAGCGUUGUCCGGAUUUACUGGGCGUAAAGAGCGCGCAGGCGGUCGAUCAAGUCGAGUGUGAAAGCCCCCGGCUCAACUGGGGAGGGUCAUUCGAUACUGAUCGACUCGAAGGCAGGAGAGGGUAGUGGAAUUCCCGGUGUAGCGGUGAAAUGUGUAGAGAUCGGGAGGAACACCGGUGGCGAAGGCGGGUCUCUGGGCAUUUCCUGACGCUGAGGCGCGAAAGCGUGGGGAGCAAACGGG